AUUGAACGCUGGCGGCAGGCUUAACACAUGCAAGUCGAACGAGUGGCAGACGGGAGAGAAAUGCUUGGGAAUCUAGCUUAUGGAGGGGGAUAACUACGGGAAACUGUAGCUAAUACCGCGUACCAUAGGAUGAGCCCAAGUGGGAUAAGGUAGUUGGUGGGGUAACGGCUCACCAAGCCGACGAUCUCUAGCUGGGGUGAGAGGAUGACCAGCCACACUGGGACUGAGACACGGCCCAGACUCCUACGGGAGGCAGCAGUGGGGAAUAGUGCGCAAGGGGGUCAACCUGACGCUGCCAUGCCGCGUGAAUGAAGAAGGCCUUCGGGUUGUAAAGUUCUUUCGGUAGCGAGGCGUUAACUACAGAAGAAGCACCGGCUAACUCCGUGCCAGCAGCAGCGGUAAUUC
rnacentral:rRNA from 1 species